GUCAAGGUCAAGGAGAGUUCACCCAAACAAAUAUUAUGUAAUCUGCCUCGUGUUAUUCCAAACCUGCUUGACUUACCUUCUUCAGUUUUUAAAGAAUACCCUGGCCACUCUACUGUUCAAAAGCAUGGAGUCAGUAAGAUUUCUGAAUAGCUUUUCGUGAGGAAAAAAAUUCAAUUUGAAUAAUUCUUCACUGGAAAUGCGCCGUAAUGUUGCUUUAGCAUGUUCAUGCAAGAAAGUGAUAAUUGAUGCAUAACUGAAUCAUUCCUUUGCGUCAGAAGACUCUGAAGCUUUAAAGCUUUGGUCUUCAUUCGUUAAAUGGAAAACAGUGACUCACACCAUCUUAAUUUGUCCUUUUGCGUUCCAUGAAAGAAAGUCACGAGGAUCUGGCAUGACAUGAGAGCGAGAACUGUAAACAAAUCUUUUGCCGAAUCUUUCAGUUUUCUAUAUAAUCUCAAAGGAACAUAUGUUGAAGAUGCGUCUGCAUGUGAUUAUUCUGGGAUGGUACAGUACCCUCACUCUAUGUAAUGUUGAUUAAAUGAGAAAAUUACUCAUCUUUUCCAUUCCUCCUCCCAAAAUAACAUAACUGUUCUGUAAUAUGAAAACAAAAGGCCUGCUCAUUCGAUUACGUAAUUAUAUUCAUCUUGUUUUUAACAUACGAUCUUCAUCCUUAAUGUAGUUGCUUUUUCCUUAACACUCAGAAUGAUUUGAAACUUAAGAGCACUCACAGAAAUAACUCCUUUGGCUAAAAAAAAAGGUUGUGUUUUUCAUUUUGCGUUUUGAUGUCAUGUCUAAACAAUUUUCAAGGUUACCCAACACCGUUUUAAAAGAAUGUUUGCACAUUUAUUGUAAUUUCUACACCAUCAUCUACAGGAAUUAAAGAACCGGACCCCUUCCACAACGUCUGAGGACUCCUCAAAGUUCCAGAGCACGGGGUCAUUGGACCGCGAGCCCUCAGAGGUGGAGCUCUCCUCGUCUCCAUCUACCAGAGACUUCCUGUCCCGCAUGGACUCCAAACGCAAAGGGAAGAACCUCAAUCCAUUCUCCUCCAAUUCAAGCCAGAAGGGCCAGAACAGCGAGGCGCAGAGCCAGAUCCCCAGCCGCCUGCUACAGCUGGCCAAACCCAAGGAGAAGAAGGACAAGAAGAAGAAGAAGGGGAAAGGGCAGCAGAGCCAGACUGCAGAUGCUCAGAGCGCUGUGGUUCCAAGCUCUAACCCGGACGGAGAGAUCUUUUUCUGCUGAUUCUGACCCCUCUUUAUCAGCCUCUAUCCCACAAUGCCUCCAAGCAGGGCUGCUGGGCUCUGGUUGUGGACUCACUCAUAAACCAGAGUUAGAAGCACACACCUGUGGUCUCGAAGGGUGUCAGGACAGAUAAACUGAUUGUUUCCUGUGACCUGAUUUUCAGCGGCCAGCAUUCUGCAUGGUCACAAGCAGGGGCCUGGAGCACGAGCCUGGGGAACAGUAAAUGUCCGAUAAACCCACUGUGGGCACUUCACACACAGACUUCCUGUGAAGAUCAAAAGAGAUUUAUAACAGCGAGUGGCAUCAUGCUGAGAGACAGCUGGCUUUCCAGUGACCUCAAAAGUCACUUUCUGAAGGACAUUUGACUAAUGAAGAUACUAGUGAGUGAACUCAAAGUGCAGUUGGCAAUGCAGUGAUUACGUUUCUAUAUAUUUCCAUCCUUUUUCUUUCAUCCCUGUCAUGUUACAAUGUGCCUCAACAAUAUAUUAGUCUUCUGGACCAGACUUGGUUUCUAUACAGUCCCAAAGUUGUAUUUCUUUUAAAAAGGUCACAAAAUACUUUUUAUGAAUAGAAGGGGAUGCUUUUUUAAAAACAUUUUAGUGAGCAGCACAGAAAUGGAAGUGCAAAAGAGUGUAAUUAAUUGUUUAAGAACUUUUCCAUCCCUUAAUGACUGAAAGAUAGAAUGAAAAUUCAUAAUUCACUUUGUUGUGAUUCUGAAGGCUUCACAAACCCCAUAGAAGUUUUUUUCUUCUUCUAAACCUCAAUGCAAUUUUAAUCCUUAGCACUUUAUAUGCACACGUAGAGUGGGGGAAAGAUGGCUGGCUUUAAAACGAGACAAUCGAUCAGCUCCACUUAACUGGUAAACGGCCUUUCUUGUACGUGCAAGGUUUUAUUUGAUCAUCUUUUACUGUACCAUAUGAAUGUUGUGUAAAAUUGUUCAACCAAACACAAGCUUUCACGUUAAGCUACCAAAAGAGCGGGUGUUUUGACGGCAGUAUUUUUGUCUUUUUAAAGUUAUUAAACACAAACUGAGAGAGAUUCGGCUUAAUGUAGGCUAACAAACUCAAGCUGUAUUAGUCCCAAAGUAUCGCAGUUCUGCGCUCAAGCCAGAAAUGUUGAUAUGACAGGCCAAUGUGGUGUAAGUAUGAAUAUACACUGUGUUUGUGUAUUAAACGCCUGGUUUUUCCCCUCUAAUCACUAGAUUUUAGCCAGUCAAAAGCCCUUGCCUGCUGGCCAGGCUAAACGUUCUGCUGAACAUAAGGAAAUAUUUUAAGAAAGGGGUUAAAAAGUGUUAAUUUAAGCUUACUGCUGUUUUUAUUUUCUUGCCAUUAAACUUCUACAUGCCUCUCGAGUACAUUAGUGAUUAAUGCCUCAUGAUUCAUUUAUCGAUCAGUUCCCUCUGACCUCUUGGGAUCUUAUUCAUACGUCCGAGAGAUUUUUAUUAUCCGUCAGCAUAUUCCCACAGCUGCUGACGCGGACAUUCUGCGUGCUGUUGUGUUAUGGAGCUAAACGGAGAACUGAAAUGCCUUAACCAAUAGAGGGCGGUGUGUCCGCUCUCGUUUCCUUUCUCCCUCCUGAAUCGCCACGAAACUUCUUUUGUCGGAUAAUUGACUAAUGAGAAAUCUGAUGCUCACGUUCUUUAACUAGCCUUAACUAUUCCCCAAAUCCUGCAGGGUUUUUCAGUUCCCUUUUAUCACCAAAUCUUCCUUCAGGGAAACAUAGAAUUCAAGUUGAAUUAUAACUAGCACAAUUAAAGCUAGUCGGAAGUAUUCUCGCUCAUUUGACUCAUAUUGACUGGUAUAAGAAAUGCACCAAAGAAGAAUCCAAAUCAUCCCGUUAAUUCAAAUUAAACAUAAGUCUGCACCAUGCAUUGGACGCUAUAUUUAAAAAUGUUCACAAUUUAUAUUGAUUGUUCUGCUGACACAUUUAAAAUGCAUGAAAAAGUCAAAUCCAGGUUUUGUUAGAAUUACACUGGGCUUAUAUCUCUCACAGCCUCGUUUUCAUUCAUGAAAAAUUAAACAUGGCGUCUACCAACAUCGAGGUCCGUGGUUUGCAAGAGGCACCAUAAUUUCUUGUAAAAUUUUGUGUACAAAAAAGGGGCAAAAUACCACAAAUACUGUAAAUAUCUGUAAUGUAAAAAAAAAAUAGCAAAAGCAUUAAUUAUGGAUUUUUUUGUGUGUGGGUGUGCUUUGAUUUAAAGCUUUUUAUAACUAGCUUUAUUUAUCGGCAUUCUCUGUGUUGGAGACGUGAAAAAUGUAAAAUGUAAAAGAAAGUAAUAAAUAACUAUUGUACAUCAGCCUGUGUUCAUAUUUUUUUGCUCAGGUUAUAUAUAGAGAGAGUGUGAGAGAUACAAUGAUGGAUACAAAUAAUUAAUUUAAAUCACAUAUAUUUCAAAUAGUACAACUUGAUAGAUACAUAUAUGUGUGUGUAUGUAUGUGUAUUUAUGUAUAUAUAUAUAUAUAUAUAUAUAUUAGCGCUCCAGAUAUAUCAGAUUUCAGUUAGUGAGGUCAACUGUCUCAAAAAAAAAAAAAAAUCCCAUACAAACCUGCCAGCUGUGGUUGAAUAUGGUAUAUGGUAGCAACAUUUUGGGGUUUAUGGAUUUUGAAGUUUUAUUGAACUUGUGAAAUCUGUUUAGUAUCUUUGUGAUACUCUGAUAACCACCAAAACAGGUGGUGGUAAGAAAGUCACAUGAUGAAGCAAAACUCAUCCCAAUCUGCUUUCCCACAAGCUGAGAACAAAAAUAUUUGAAUAGAAGGUAAAUCUAAAUUAAAAUGUAUGCAUUUAGCAGACACUUUUAUUCAAUUUUAACCUAUCAUGUAUUCCCGGGGAAUCAAACCCACAACCUUGUGCUUCAUAAGGCAAUGCUCUACCAAUUGAGCUACAGGAACUGUUAAAAUCACAACAGACUAAAGCCAACUAAUCAGAAGCAAAGCUUGACUGAAGCACCUGUUGCUACUUUCUCUUCCUCCUGUCUGGUCUAGCGCAAGGUUUCCCAGCGGCGGACACCAACAUGACUCCAUUUGUCCUGCUUUGAAUGAAGCGACUGUCUCCUAAAUGUGUUUUUUUCUCUCACGGGGUUGGUUGGAUAUGUUUGAAGGGGGGCCAUGGCUUCUUUCCCCUUUGGACUCCAUUGACUUUGUCUUUGUUCCUGUUGCCAAGCUACCCUGCUCUUUUGGCAAGCACAAAGGUAGGAAACAGUGCUUGAAGGUAAUGCUAAGCUGAAAAGAACUAGUUCCUUGUCAGAUUAAAGACUGGCUGUUCAUUUUUCGGCUUGUUUACAAGGUGAUUUUAUCCAGCCCUGGAGGAAUGUUCUCAUCUUUAUCCAGAUAACUUAAAUCCAAGACUUGGUGGCUUUAGCUAGGGAUACACUUGUGUUUGUCCUUGUUCCUGGAGACUUAAGCUGUUGUUCUUUGGGGAGUUGCUAUUAAAACAGUAAAGAAGCUCAGAUACCUAGCUUAAAGUGCAUCUCAUUGGUUUUUCCAUUUUUUGUCUCCUGCAUUUUGACCUUUCAUUGGACUCCCAGUAAUGCCAUGUUUUGCAUUUGUGAAAGAUCCCUCAGUAUCUAUCAUUGUUGUCCCGUUUUGUCUAUCUGUUGAUUGGGUUUUUCCUCUACCAUCUCUCUUUCUCUCGCUUUCCAAAGAGAACAAAUGAUCCACAUGCAACCUAGAGAAACCUGAGCCUUUGUGACGCGCUGACAGCCUGUGUAUAAAUAUCAGUUGUAUGUCAGGGAGAACAAUAGCUCUGUGCUGCCGGUGUUUUCUGAUACAUGAGGGACAGUGUGGCCUUUUAUGCUCCUACAAGAACAGCGCUCAUGAAAUUGUUGUUGGGUUUCCUUGGUAUAAGGUUGUGCUGGCUAUCUGAAGAUUUCCAUUCACAUGUGACAUCUCACUUUGUACUGGUUCGGAUGCUAGAAUCUCUAGAAAGAGUUUAAUAAAGCAGUUAGAGAAAGCAACGGGACAUUUCAUUAGGUCCACUCGAGACUGCAAUCCAAUGAGUAAGAAAGUGUUGAUGUAUUAGGGGAUUUCUGUACAUCUACUUGAUAGAGCACUUGAGAUGGUUGUUCUUGAGGUCAUGUAGAGGUUUAGUAUUCUGACUCAUCAUGGCCUGCAUUCAUUAUUGCUAGAGUUCACAGAAAUAUGUGAAGUGUAAUUUAAUGUAAUGCUCAAAAAUUAGAUCAAGGAUACUCGCAAGCAGGGUUGCCAAGUUUGCGGUUUUCCAGUGGAAUUUGGUUACUUGAACGCUGUUGCCGCAGGUUUAAGCAACCCGAUAAGGUGUAUUUUAUCCCCGGAACACGAUUUUUAACAGGAGACCCCUUUCGAAAUGUGAUUUGGAAUAGUUUUGAGUACCGAUUGGGAGUUUUUUUGUAAAAACCUGGCAACGGCUCUCAAGUAGGGCUCCAUGAUAUAUUGGUUACCAACCAAUGGAUGGAUGCAUGGAUGGAUGAGUUGUUUUUUUAUCAUCUAGGCCUCAGGUAAUUAUUUUUUGUAAUUAUUUCUUAUAUGAACUGUAAUAUAUUAAGUCAAUGUGUCUAAUAACUCUUGUACCAAUUAUUAAUAUCAGUUUAUCAAAUAUCAGUUUUAACAUUUUUAUAUCAAUACAAUAAAAUAU
ensembl:lncRNA